GCUUCCCGUCCCUUGGUCCGGGCGGGCGGUUUUCCCGCCGCCCUCUCGACACUUUGCACCGAGGCGUCGGAUCUGCUGGCUCAGAGGGCAGGGGUUUCCUACGUCCCCCUUCCCCACCAGCGCCUAGAGACGAGGCGGAACUCAAAGGGCUGCUCCCUCACCCCCUUCCUGGCCAAGACGUUUCAUCCGCAAUUGGCUCAAUCCUUCGAUCUCCGACCCGCUGCAAACGAACGAAAGUCUGUGGCCUGGAUCGGCCCACCACUGCUCCCGAGGGAGGGGGGAGGAAAGAGAAGUCACCUCUUGUUUUAGGGGGUCUGUGUCUACGGUCCCUGAUGCGGAGCUCGGGAGAACAACUUCGAGUUAGUGUUUACGGAACUUCUCACAGCCUAGAUUCUUUUUUUGAAGGGAGAGAUUCAAAAUCUAUAGGCUGUUCCCUGCUCGCCUCCCCCAUCGGGCACAUGGACGGGUCCCACCUGCAGGUGCGCAUGCGCUGAGGCGUAUUCUCGCGCUGGGUUACGGAGACGACAGGCCGCCUCCUGGCCCCUCCUCCCCUCGGUUCUGUCUGCUGAACCAGGAAGAAAAAAAGAAGAAGAAGAAGAAGAAGAAGAAGAAGAAGAAGAAGAAGAAGAAGAAGAAGGAAAACACAUUUUUGUCCACGGUGACUUUGAGAUGGAAGGUGUUCCUUUCAACUGUAUCAAAACCAGCACAAUCCCUGUUUGAAGAUGCUAGGACUAAAAGGGCCCAGAAAGUUGAGUCCAGAGGUCACAUUCACUGAAGGGACGAUUUCAUACUUUGGAUAGUCUCCUAUUAAGUCUUUGACUUAAAACUGGCUGAAAUUUGGUUUUAUCCGGUGAUCUAAGGGAUCGCAAAGAGGACAGGCUUCAUAGAGGAUGCGCCAUUCGAGCUCUACCACACAGGAGGCACGGUGGUGGCCUCACCUCUACACAACAGUGUUCCCACCUCCUGAAAAGCCUUCCUCUUCCAUCGUAGAAUGUUUACAUUUUCUCUUUAUUGUGAAGACUUUCAUCAUCUUUUCAAUCAGAACAAGACACCAUGACUGAGGCAAUUUACAAAAGGAAGUUUUGAUUUACCUGUGGCUUCAAAGUUAGAGACCAUGAUGGCAGAGCAAAGGAAGAGCUGAAAGCUCAUGCCUUGAUGUAAAACUACAUGACAGAGAGAAAACACUGGAAACAGAGCAUUGUUAUACUUUUGUUGACAGAUGAAGAAAUUGUGACACACAGCGAUUAAGUAAUGCAUCUAAGGGCACACCAACUACCAGUUUUGAAGUAAGGGUUCUAAGGCUUGGGCCCAUUGGCAGAGCCUUGAGGUUUCUUCUGGAUUGUACUGCUGUUGCUGGUUCGUGAAUAGUGUUUGCGAGUGGAUUAAGUUACGACUGUUGAUUUGUGUGAACUAAACUGCUGAUAUCCUGACUAUGAAGGUUGGAAUCACCCCAAAGAGCACAUCCAAAAAUUUUAAUUUAAAUGGGCUGAGAAAUUUUCAGGAAAAGAAUUUUGUGCAAAAUAAAGAUACAACAAUCCAGAGGAAAGGAGCAACACAAGAACACAAGAGAGGGAGACAUCAGGAAUGAGAGACACCUAAGCCCACGCCCCUGCCUGGCGGCAGACGCCACUGGGUUGAGAAACUAUCUGAUGGAGAGAUGGGAGAGAGGGAGUACUGGUGGAGAGAAAGCGAAGCUGAGUGGUCCCUGCACUGUGGACAGAGGUGGAGCUGGAGAUGUGAUUGUGGUAAAGAGCAGGCAGAUGUGAGGAGCCAGGGCAACCCCCUAGGGCCAUGGAAGUCCAGGCCUGAGCUGCUACUAAGAGCCAGGUCUCUACUGCACCUGGGGUUUGUGUUGAUGUCUGUGGCCUGUGUAGCCAUCGAAGGCCAUCUGGCCUGACUUGGAUUUUUGGAAACUCAACGGCCACAUCUACUGACACCCUUUCUGCAACAAGACCACACCUUCUAAUCCUUUUCAAGUGGUGAUACUUCCUGAUGACCAUACAUUCAAGUAUAUGAGCUUCUGAGGGCCAUUCUUAGUCAAACCGCUUCACACAGAUUGCAAACUGUCAAGGAAAAUGUAUUCAGAAGAAAAAUAAAAGCACAGCAAGAAAGUAUCAGGAUCAGGAGUUCAAGGGUUUCUGCUAUUAUCUAGGGCUUCCUUUUAUGGAGUGGACUAUUGCAUGGAAGAAGGUGGAGGGAGGAGUUGGUAGGGUUGACACCAGUGCAGGUCAUCUGGAAGGAGAGAAUCUCAAUUAAGACUCCUGGCUCCUGACUCAGUGUCACCUAAGCAUUCUCCAAUGAUCCAAACGAAUUCAACGUCUGUGUCUUUGGCUAAGGAUAUAGAGAAAUCGGGCAAAAUCAGCAUAUUUGAUGCCAUUAUCAUUUUGAGGAAAAUCCUAAACAGCUUGUGCUUUCCAUGGGUUCUUCACCAAGCCUUCAAGGCAUGAUCUCUCAAUUGGCGUUGGUGCUCUGUGAGGAUUGGACUGGUUGCCCAUUGAGCCCUGGGAUCCACUCGUUUCUGCUUCUCCUGUGCUGGGAUUGCAGGCUACUGUACAGGCUGUGUGUGGUGGCAGAAGCAUGUGGAUCUCUGUGAACUUGAGGCCUAGGCCAGCCAGGGAUAUGCAGUAAGAACCCAUCUCAAGGAACAGAAAAGAAAAAAGAAGAGAAGAGAAGAGAAGAGAAGAGAAGAGAAGAGAAGAGAAGAGAAGAGAAGAGAAGAGAAGAGAAGAGAAGAGAAGAGAAAAAAAGACAAAAGAAGAAAGGAGAGGAAAGAAAAGGAAAGGAAAUCUACUGUACAUCAAUUGUAGGGUUACAAAUGCUAAGACACAUGUGUGUCUCUUGAGAUGGCUUCACAGCAUUUUGCAUUUUGUAAAAAACCAAAGAGUUGAAGAUGUGGAGUGAAUUAGCAAGCAGAUGGAGCAAGAAAGCAGGUGACGCAGCAGAGUAAAGAGCAAUGAGAUAGGGAUGCUGAGAGAUGGCUCAGGGCUAAGUGAUGAGUGAAAACGGAAUCGAUUUCCACUGUGCAGUAUAAGGAUUUGAGAAUUGUACCCACUGACAGAUCUACCCACCACACAUUUUUGUGUGUGGUAAGAACACUUAUGAUCUAUUCUUUUAGGAACUUUCAAUGAUAUAAUAACACAUUAUUAACUAUGGUCACCAUGCUACACAAUAGAACUCAGGGAUCUGGUCUGUACAACUCUGAUAUGAUGUGCUGAAAAUGAUGGGAGCACAGGCUUCAAGUGGGCAAGACUGCAGAGCAUGGUUGUUUAAGCCUGAGGUUAAAACAGCAUGGUGAUAAAGUCCACUAAUGUAUGAAAGGGAUUUGAAAGUUAAGUCUUCUAUAGAAGAUAAGCUAACAUGGGUCUCAGUCACGGCUGUGUAUCAGGAAGUAAAACCAGCCGAGCCUUGACCUUUAAAAGGAAGCACUACCCCUUUGUCCAAGUGCCUUAUAACAUGUCUUUAUAACUGGCUGUGUAAGAAUGAAGAAAAGCUGUCCAUCUUCUGAGAAGGAUGAGACCAGAGAGUCCACGUCUCCCUCCAAUGCCUGGGAUGUGAAGUACUCAGUAGAUAGCUGGGUCAGGAGCAAAUGAUCAGAAUUUACGCAGACGGCCAGAGUGGCAGGGAGCAUCAUGGCUUAUUGGCAAGAAGCGGCUCCUAAAUUAUAUCAAGGACUCUCGGAAAGGAGAACUCAAUUCACACGGCACACACUUCACUGUCUGUUGCAAGCCACACAGUGUGUUUAUGUCUGGAUCUGGCCUUUAUUAAAUUUCUUCAGCUUGCAUUUUUGGCACAUCCUCUGGGACUCUGCUUUCCUGGAAGACAUUUUCUUUCUGUAACUCCUCUGCCGCUUCAUCAAACCUCUCGCCAAAGUGGGGAAGAGAAUCAUCCCCCACCCCGCAGAUUAUGUGAACUGCCUCAGCCUGCAAGUGGCCAACAUGCUGGCAGUACCAGGAACUCUCCCCAGUUAAUCCCCACAGUGGCUCUGGGAGGCGAAUAUUUUUCAUUCCUGUUUUAUCUUUGAGGAAUCAGGUCUUAGGGAGAUCAUAUUAGCAGUCCCUGGCUGGGCUAUUAUUUAAGUGCAGGUUCUGAGUAUACACAUACAGCUAAAAUAGCCAAAAGCAGCAGGCUCAGUCAUUAAGUUUUGCCAUUGUCAAAACUUGGGGGGAGCAAAGGAAGACACAAACAGAACCCUAAUAACUCUGAGGUCCUAAUAAUGCUAAUUUUAGACCUUAACUGUAAUAGCAUAUGUGCUGUGGUUGGUGGCAACAGGAAAGGACAGAACAGGAAAUACCAUGACCCAGAUUCUGGCUAAUGAGAAAGAUUAACAAAUACCAGAGCCAGCUCUGCUUUCUAUGCAAUCCUUCAAGACCUAGCUCCCUGUGCAAGCUCUUCCGAGAAACUGUAUGAUUUCUAGAAGCAAUCCUUUGCUCUGUGCCUCCACUGUCUUUUGCCGCAGCCUGGUUACAGCUCUUCCUCUAAUUCGGCUCAUUUUUCUGUCCCACAUCUAUAUAGAGCUGUGAGUCUCACGUGUUAGCAUAUUCCUAAGUGUGAUUUCAUGUUCACAAUACAUUUCCUCAUAUUCUACCUGCAAUGAAGGUAACUGCCUAUGGAUGUCACAGGUUGGUUUCUUUGGAAGCAGAUACUGAGGGAAAUGGGAUUGGUAUAUGUUAGGGAUCAAUCUAUGUGAAGAAAGAAGGAAGGAAGUGGAAUGGAGAAAGGAGAAAGUCAAACUUCAUAUAGGGUCCGAGAGAGCCGUCUCUCCACUUCUCCACCAAGGUGCUCAGUUUUAGGAGUGGAAAGCAGCAUGUGCCAUCCUUCUGUCAGAAAACACCAAAGGAUCAACUUGGACUUAGGCUGAGAAUGUUAGACUCUGCAGGAUAGCUGCAGGCCCAGGAGAGAACCGUGCUGCAGUUCGAGUCUCCAAGUCAUCUGCUGAGGUUCUCUCGUGCUCAGGGGCAGCUAGUGUUUUGUUCUCUUCAGGCUUUCAAUUGAUUGAGGAUGAAGAAAUGAGAAAUCCAGAAACCAAAGACCUUGCUCUUUUGUCAAACAGACUUGGUAGAGCAGAGUUGCAAAAUCAGACCUUUGGGGGCUUGCGUGUUUCUCCUCUUACUCCCUGGUGUAGGUUCUCUGGUCCACUUGAACCAUGCCUCUUUCAAGCAGAGAUUUGCUCUGUAUCAGCCAACUCUCUGCAAAUCAGCUGACUAAUGAUUUUCUAUCUUUAUUAUAAAACAACCUAGAAAAGUUUGUAGUUUACUGAGAAUCCCUCUGAGUCAUAUCUCAGAAAAAAAGUCCUCCACGAGCCAUUCUAUAUGAUUUUGGGUCAGAGGAGCCGCCUCUUCAUUCCUAAAAGCAGCUGGCUUUUAAUACCGUGGCUCUGGACCAGGAGACGGGUAGACACUCGGGCUUCCAAGGCAUUGUAGAGGAGCAGUCGAUGUUUGGCAUGUCACUUUUGUCAGCGAUUUGGUCAUCCCUGUAAAGAGAAGAUUAUAACAACUCUGUGUGUGUAUGUGUGCAUGUGUGUACACACUCAGCACCCUUUGCCCCCGGGGUUGUCUACAAAUCAAUGAGAUCAUCUAAGUGAAAUACUGUGUCUACUCAAUCGAGCCCUGCCUUGAACUUCAGGCUGCCUGGCUUGGAUCCUGAUGCUGCUUUGCUGACACAAUCCAUUCUCCCAGGGAACACCCAGAGUUCCACUCCAGCCCUGGCAACGCUGCAGCAGAGGAGGCCAACUGUACGGAAAGUCUACAUUGGCUCGGAACAAUUGAGGCUGGGAGAGGGUCCAAGUGGGAUCAGUUGAGCUAAGCCUCUUCCAGGUAGUGCUAUCAUCUUGGCUUCUUUCCAGCAGCUGGGCUUGUCAGAGUUUUCUUUGCAGCUUGCGAUAUCCGAAAGUGACUCUCUGUAGGCUUUCAUGCUUUCUUUGAGUGGGUGGGGGGGCUGGUGAAUCUGGUCAGUUUCAGAGACUUCCUGGAGCUCUUGUUUACCUUCUGUCUUAAAGUGCUUCCCUGGAAGAUGGAGCUCCAUUCAAAAACUGCUACACAGAACCAGGCUGAGCAAGCCCAGGCCUUUCCUGUUGAGCAGCAGCAGAACUCUGAGCAGUUGGCUCUCCAUUGGUCCCUUCUGCAUGGCAGACUUACCUCUAGAAUAAUGUUCUUUUGAUAAGAGCUUGUUCCAAAGGCUUCUGUCCAUUCUUUUACAAAUUCAUUCAUUCGUCAAAUACUAACUGAUGUCACCAAGUGUAGGAACUAGAGAAGAAAAAUGAAUAGGCCACAGAGAUUCUUGUCAGAUGGAAAGGCCAAAAUAGAGAGAUGGUUAAAAUUCCACGUAGGACAAGUAUCAUGACAGAGCUUCAUUAAUGAGACUGCUAAAAGUUAGGUGGCAACAGAGACAGGAAUGUCACCAUAAAGAGAGUACGUGCUCAGGGGAAAAAUGGUGACAGUUGUGUGCCUCACUGAAGAUAAGGAGAAGAAAAACAGUUGUUGAACAUAGAUACUCUCAUAGGACAAACACCUUAAACUAUGUGAUAGUCACAAUGUGGAGAGAACAUGGCACUCCCAUUUCAUUGUGUAAAAGCUAUUCGAAACUGAGCCCACACAUUAAUAAGAGACAGGGAGAUGAAUGACAGUGAACUGGGAACCUGGGCACUGCCCAGGAGGCGCUGCCAUGAUUUCUCACUGUUGGGGAAUCCUUGAGAUCAGAAAUGGGGUACCUUGAAGCAGAAACUAACAGAGGAGAUGAGAUAAUGGUAGACCAAUGCCACCUACUUGUUAAUUUAGGGGAGAGGAGGACUGGAUUUUAGUGUCAUAGCCAGAGGAAAGUCAUACUUUAGGCUGGGUGUAGCAAUGGAAACAGACAGAGUAUGAGUCCAGCUUUAGGAGUGCAAAGAUGGCUCUGCUGAAUUCUAAUCACUGCCCCCCUGCCCUACAAACCCAGAGAGUGUACAGUGUUGGUUUAGUUUCAGGUUCCCCUGUGCCCUCUCUGACAUUCAGAGUUUAGCACGGGCUCUCUGCUUCAGGUUGCUCCAACCAUCUCUAUCCUCGUCCAAGCUCCUGUAGUAGUAGGCACGCCCCUCUUGUUGGAUUAACAUUCACACCACCAGGCCUUGUCCACCAAUUUUAUGGCUGAAUUUAUUCAUGAAUCCUCUGAGGGCAGAAUUGUCUUCCAUCUCUCAUGAAAUCCACCAGAGACUAGACUCAAGCUCUGUCAGUAUGUCCCAUGGGGGGUGGGGGUGGGGAUGGAUGAAUGACUGUCUCCAAUUAAAGCUUUCAUUCUCCUUGUGAAUACAGACCUCAGGACGAGGACAUGCAGAAAAAGUGCUGAGUGUUCUUUAAAGCAGUAGCAAACCAUGGGUUUGGGUGAGUCUUGGGCUAACCCAAGUCUAACUGACCCUUUGUAGCUUUAUCUUCCUGCUUAUACAUCCCAGUUGCUCUAUACAACUUCUACACAAUAGUCAGGCUUCAGAGACGUACAUAAAGGAGCAAGUUAGCCAAGUUCAGUCUGAGAGCCAGGUCUAGCCGUCUUCUAGAUCACUGUCUGACUUCUGAAUUAAGGAAUUAUUUAGAUAGGUUGCUUAUUUCCACAGGUUCAAGGCUCCUGGCCUCCAGUCUUUCUGUUUUAUACCCGUCCUACACUCAGUUAUUUUCUUGGAAAAAAAAAAAUUCCUGUAUAUGGUGUCAUAUAACUGGUAAUCUCAGCACUUUGGAGGGAGGCUGAAACCAGUGGACUGCCAAGAGUUCAAGACUAGCCUGGGCACACACACACGCACACGCUCACAUGCACAUGUUCACACACACACUUUCACACGCACAGUGAAUUCCUGUCUCAAAACAAAAUGCACAUGCACAGGCAUGCACGUAUGCACCCACAUCAAUCACGCUGUUGUUUGUUUGUCUGCCCAGCCCCCUUGUUGCCUCCAGAGCAAAGCCUGACUCUUGAGCAGGCAGGCUAGGUCCUCUGGGAACAUCUUUGGCUGAUCAGAGUCCAUCAUGUUAGUGAUAUGCAGCUGCUCCUUGCCCCUCCCCCCACAACGAGCUUUCAUUCUUCUGUGCGUUUUCUUCAUGCUCUUAAAGGUAUCACAGCAAUUUCCCCACAUCCAUUCCAGCUGGUGAUUUCCUGCUUGGUCGUCUUUUAAAACCCAGCCAUCUGAAUCCGAGAGUUGCUUCUUCAGCAAGGCCUCCCCUGACUCCUUCAGAUGUCUAAGCACCACCCCUACUCUUCUGCUGCAGCAUCUCCACUUGCUUUUGUCCUUCAUCUCCCUGAAAUUAUUUGCUUACUCAUCCAUCCAUGUCAGUUGCAAAAGCAUGACUUCCUCUAGUCCAAAGGCCAUUCAUGUUCAAUAUGUUAGCACUCGGAGCGUCUCCAGUGGUUGUUUCAAACAAGGCAAAUGAGUUCAGUUGAACUUUAUAUGUUCUGCCCUCCGACUGUGACUGUUAUUUACUUCCCUCCAAACAAAAUGUAAUAAUAAAAUGACUAACUGAACACUGC
rnacentral:lncRNA from 1 species